rnacentral:rRNA from 1 species
AGUGGCGGACGGGUGAGUAACGCGUGAGAAUCUGCCUUGGGGUCGGGGACAACCACUGGAAACGGUGGCUAAUACCGGAUAAGCCGAUUGGUGAAAGAUUUAUUGCCCGAAGAGGAGCUCGCGUCUGAUUAGCUAGUUGGUGAGGUAAGAGCUCACCAAGGCAGCGAUCAGUAGCUGGUCUGAGAGGACGAUCAGCCACACUGGGACUGAGACACGGCCCAGACUCCUACGGGAGGCAGCAGUGGGGAAUUUUCCGCAAUGGGCGAAAGCCUGACGGAGCAAGACCGCGUGAGGGAGGAAGGCUCUUGGGUUGUAAACCUCUUUUCUCAGGGAAGAAGCUCUGACGGUACCUGAGGAAUCAGCCUCGGCUAACUCCGUGCCAGCAGCCGCGGUAAUACGGAGGAGGCAAGCGUUAUCCGGAAUUAUUGGGCGUAAAGCGUCCGCAGGUGGCGAUUCAAGUCUGCUGUCAAAGCACGGGGCUUAACUCCGUAAAGGCAGUGGAAACUGAAUAGCUGGAGUGCCGUAGGGGUAGAGGGAAUUCCCGGUGUAGCGGUGAAAUGCGUAGAGAUCGGGAAGAACAUCGGUGGCGAAAGCGCUCUACUGGACGGCAACUGACACUCAGGGACGAAAGCUAGGGGAGCGAAUGGGAUUAGAUACCCC